AAUAUAUUUACAUCAGGUUGUUGUUGCAAUCAUCAAUUUAUUCCACUUGACUGUCAUACUUCAGAUUUUACAUGGACUGACACAUACUGACCAGGCUAAACCAUACGAUGUGGCUAACAAUAAGUGAUAUUACAACACGGUCAACAGAAAUUAUGACCACCACCGGCGCACCCGCUUCCUCAUACAUACAAAUCAGCGCGCCAGUAUGGCUCCCAUUCAUACCUUAGUGACAGUCACGCCCACCUCGACACACCCACCACCCAGGUGUCAAAGCCGCGUGCUCCUGCCACAUCAGUAACUGCUCAUUUCAACCAUAAGGCUCUUACAUUCCGGCCCCUAAUUAUUACAAAGAUAAUUGUCUGAAAUGUUAACACUGUAAGAGACAAGCCUAAGAAACAAAUAGUCAUAAAUUUGCUCAGUAUCAAAUUUAUUUUAAUCUAUCUUUUAGACUAAGCAAUCAACUAGAGAAAAGGAAGUCACUGGUGAUUAGAAUGGAGAGAAAAGGUCGUUAAAUGUUCAAGGUGUCUCCGCCUCCUGAAGCAAGCACAACUUGGUAAUGGGUCUUUCCAGGUAGCUCGUCUUUGUCUUGAUGCGAACUGACCUCACAAGUCCUCCUUUAUCAGGAACAAUGUUCACAACUUUACCCAUUAACCAAGAGUUGCGUGGAGCAGAGUCAUCCACGAUGAGGACGACAUCUCCUGGAAGAAGGUUCCGUCUUGUUCUUUGCCACUUCUGCCGCUCUUGUAGUUGAGGCAAGUAUUCCUUUAACCAACGCUUCCAGAAGAGAUCCGCCAUAUAUUGCACCUGUCUCCAUCUUCGCCGAGCGUAGACAUCAUUCUUGGAAAACACUCCUGGUGGCAAUGAAGGC